UACGUAGGGUGCGAGCGUUGUCCGGAUUUACUGGGCGUAAAGAGCGCGCAGGCGGUCGGAUAAGUCGAAUGUGAAAGCCCCCGGCUCAACUGGGGAGGGUCAUUCGAUACUGUUCGACUCGAAGGCAGGAGAGGGAAGUGGAAUUCCCGGUGUAGUGGUGAAAUGCGUAGAUAUCGGGAGGAACACCAGUGGCGAAGGCGACUUCCUGGCCUGUUCUUGACGCUGAGGCGCGAAAAGCUAGGGGAGCAAACGGG
rnacentral:rRNA from 1 species